CAAGUCGAACGAUGAACCUGGAGCUUGCUCUGGGGGAUUAGUGGCGAACGGGUGAGUAACACGUGAGUAACCUGCCCUUGACUCUGGGAUAACCUCCGGAAACGGAAGCUAAUACCGGAUAUGACGUACGGAGGCAUCUCCUGUGCGUGGAAAGAAUUUCUGGUCAAGGAUGGACUCGCGGCCUAUCAGGUAGUUGGUGAGGUAACGGCUCACCAAGCCUACGACGGGUAGCCGGCCUGAGAGGGUGACCGGCCACACUGGGACUGAGACACGGCCCAGACUCCUACGGGAGGCAGCAGUGGGGAAUAUUGCACAAUGGGCGCAAGCCUGAUGCAGCAACGCCGCGUGAGGGACGACGGCCUUCGGGUUGUAAACCUCUUUUAGUAGGGAAGAAGCGAAAGUGACGGUACCUGCAGAAAAAGCACCGGCUAACUACGUGCCAGCAGCCGCGGUAAUACGUAGGGUGCAAGCGUUGUCCGGAAUUAUUGGGCGUAAAGAGCUCGUAGGCGGUUUGUCGCGUCUGCUGUGAAAACCCGAGGCUCAACCUCGGGCCUGCAGUGGGUACGGGCAGACUAGAGUGCGGUAGGGGAGAAUGGAAUUCCUGGUGUAGCGGUGGAAUGCGCAGAUAUCAGGAGGAACACCGAUGGCGAAGGCAGUUCUCUGGGCCGUAACUGACGCUGAGGAGCGAAAGCGUGGGGAGCGAACAGGAUUAGAUACCCUGGUAGUCCACGCCGUAAACGUUGGGCGCUAGAUGUGUGGACCAUUCCACGGUUUCCGUGUCGCAGCUAACGCAUUAAGCGCCCCGCCUGGGGAGUACGGCCGCAAGGCUAAAACUCAUAGGAAUUGACGGGGGCCCGCACAAGCGGCGGAGCAUGCGGAUUAAUUCGAUGCAACGCGAAGAACCUUACAAGGCUUGACAUAUACGAGAACGGGCCAGAUAUUGGUCAACUCUUUGGACACUCGUAAACAGGUGGUGCAUGGUUGUCGUCAGCUCGUGUCGUGAGA
rnacentral:rRNA from 1 species